UUAAGCGACUAAGCGUACACGGUGGAUGCCCUGGCAGUCAGAGGCGAUGAAGGGCGUGCUAAUCUGCGAUAAGCGCCGGUAAGGUGAUAUGAACCGUUAUAACCGGCGAUACCCGAAUGGGGAAACCCAGUGUGAUUCGUCACACUAUCAUUAACUGAAUCCAUAGGUUAAUGAGGCGAACCGGGGGAACUGAAACAUCUAAGUACCCCGAGGAAAAGAAAUCAACCGAGAUUCCCCCAGUAGCGGCGAGCGAACGGGGAGGAGCCCAGAGCCUGAAUCAGCAUGUGUGUUAGUGGAAGCGUCUGGAAAGGCGCGCGAUACAGGGUGACAGCCCCGUACACAAAAGCGCAUGUGCUGUGAGCUCGAUGAGUAGGGCGGGACACGUGGUAUCCUGUCUGAAUAUGGGGGGACCAUCCUCCAAGGCUAAAUACUCCUGACUGACCGAUAGUGAACCAGUACCGUGAGGGAAAGGCGAAAAGAACCCCGGCGAGGGGAGUGAAAAAGAACCUGAAACCGUGUACGUACAAGCAGUGGGAGCACAGGUUUACCUGUGUGACUGCGUACCUUUUGUAUAAUGGGUCAGCGACUUAUAUUCUGUAGCAAGGUUAACCGUAUAGGGGAGCCGGAGGGAAACCGAGUCUUAAUUGGGCGUUAAGUUGCAGGGUAUAGACCCGAAACCCGGUGAUCUAGCCAUGGGCAGGUUGAAGGUUGGGUAACACUAACUGGAGGACCGAACCGACUAAUGUUGAAAAAUUAGCGGAUGACCUGUGGCUGGGGGUGAAAGGCCAAUCAAACCGGGAGAUAGCUGGUUCUCCCCGAAAGCUAUUUAGGUAGCGCCUCGUGAAUUCAUCUCCGGGGGUAGAGCACUGUUUCGGCUAGGGGGCCAUCCCGGCUUACCAACCCGAUGCAAACUGCGAAUACCGGAGAAUGUUAUCACGGGAGACACACGGCGGGUGCUAACGUCCGUCGUGAAGAGGGAAACAACCCAGACCGCCAGCUAAGGUCCCAAAGUCAUGGUUAAGUGGGAAACGAUGUGGGAAGGCCCAGACAGCCAGGAUGUUGGCUUAGAAGCAGCCAUCAUUUAAAGAAAGCGUAAUAGCUCACUGGUCGAGUCGGCCUGCGCGGAAGAUGUAACGGGGCUAAACCAUGCACCGAAGCUGCGGCAGCGAACGUAUCACCCAAGACAACUUUACGGAGUUGACGAUUGACGGAGCGAAGCGACGUCAAAGCGUUCAUUAAAGUCGAGUUGGCUUAGGGAUACGUUCGUUGGGUAGGGGAGCGUUCUGUAAGCCUGUGAAGGUGUGUCGUGAGGCAUGCUGGAGGUAUCAGAAGUGCGAAUGCUGACAUAAGUAACGAUAAAGCGGGUGAAAAGCCCGCUCGCCGGAAGACCAAGGGUUCCUGUCCAACGUUAAUCGGGGCAGGGUGAGUCGACCCCUAAGGCGAGGCCGAAAGGCGUAGUCGAUGGGAAACGGGUUAAUAUUCCCGUACUUGGUGUUACUGCGAAGGGGGGACGGAGAAGGCUAUGUUGGCCGGGCGACGGUUGUCCCGGUUUAAGCGUGUAGGUGUGUGUUCCAGGUAAAUCCGGUUCACUUUAACACUGAGGCGUGACGACGAGGCACUACGGUGCUGAAGCAACAAAUGCCCUGCUUCCAGGAAAAGCCUCUAAGCAUCAGGUAACACGAAAUCGUACCCCAAACCGACACAGGUGGUCAGGUAGAGAAUACCAAGGCGCUUGAGAGAACUCGGGUGAAGGAACUAGGCAAAAUGGUGCCGUAACUUCGGGAGAAGGCACGCUGACACGUAGGUGAAGUGAUUUACUCAUGGAGCUGAAGUCAGUCGAAGAUACCAGCUGGCUGCAACUGUUUAUUAAAAACACAGCACUGUGCAAACACGAAAGUGGACGUAUACGGUGUGACGCCUGCCCGGUGCCGGAAGGUUAAUUGAUGGGGUCAGCGUAAGCGAAGCUCCUGAUCGAAGCCCCGGUAAACGGCGGCCGUAACUAUAACGGUCCUAAGGUAGCGAAAUUCCUUGUCGGGUAAGUUCCGACCUGCACGAAUGGCGUAAUGAUGGCCAGGCUGUCUCCACCCGAGACUCAGUGAAAUUGAACUCGCUGUGAAGAUGCAGUGUACCCGCGGCAAGACGGAAAGACCCCGUGAACCUUUACUAUAGCUUGACACUGAACAUUGAGCCUUGAUGUGUAGGAUAGGUGGGAGGCUUUGAAGUGUGGACGCCAGUCUGCAUGGAGCCGACCUUGAAAUACCACCCUUUAAUGUUUGAUGUUCUAACGUGGACCCGUAAUCCGGGUUGCGGACAGUGUCUGGUGGGUAGUUUGACUGGGGCGGUCUCCUCCUAAAGAGUAACGGAGGAGCACGAAGGUUGGCUAAUCCUGGUCGGACAUCAGGAGGUUAGUGCAAUGGCAUAAGCCAGCUUGACUGCGAGCGUGACGGCGCGAGCAGGUGCGAAAGCAGGUCAUAGUGAUCCGGUGGUUCUGAAUGGAAGGGCCAUCGCUCAACGGAUAAAAGGUACUCCGGGGAUAACAGGCUGAUACCGCCCAAGAGUUCAUAUCGACGGCGGUGUUUGGCACCUCGAUGUCGGCUCAUCACAUCCUGGGGCUGAAGUAGGUCCCAAGGGUAUGGCUGUUCGCCAUUUAAAGUGGUACGCGAGCUGGGUUUAGAACGUCGUGAGACAGUUCGGUCCCUAUCUGCCGUGGGCGCUGGAGAACUGAGGGGGGCUGCUCCUAGUACGAGAGGACCGGAGUGGACGCAUCACUGGUGUUCGGGUUGUCAUGCCAAUGGCACUGCCCGGUAGCUAAAUGCGGAAGAGAUAAGUGCUGAAAGCAUCUAAGCACGAAACUUGCCCCGAGAUGAGUUCUCCCUGAGACUUAGAGUCUCCUGAAGGAACGUUGAAGACGACGACGUUGAUAGGCCGGGUGUGUAAGCGCAGCGAUGCGUUGAGCUAACCGGUACUAAUGAACCGUGAGGCUUAACCU
rnacentral:rRNA from 2 species